ACCACGUAAAAUAAUGUUGUCUGUAAUGACCCAGUGGAGACGUAGCUUUCGAUUCAGGCAAUUUACUUCCUGUUCCAUCAAUCCUGAUCUGAAUUUAAGAGUGGAUUAGGGUGUUGUAACCGUUCUAAUCAACUUUAGGUGCCGAUUGUUUUGCCGGGCGGCUUUACUUUUUGUUACUGGGAUUUCGUUCCGAAUAUAAAACCAAAUACAAUCCGAAAAGGACGUGACUCAGGAGUGUUCGCAACAUGGUUUAUAUACCAGGUGUCCCCGUAGGGGCAACGAAGUGCUGUAUUAGGGUUCUAGAAAUUAGAAAAAAAAGUACUGUAUACAUCGGCCACGAAAAAGUGCUGAGUUUGUGAAAUGGCCACCAGUGCCUAAUUAAAAUCCUGAAUUUUAAAACUCGGUUUCUACAAAAGGUUCUGAAGUGAGGCAUAGUUAAAGUGAGUACUGUUUUUCAUCUAAGACAAAUUCAAAUAUUUUUUGUUCUAUCUGUGCAAGGAGGGUGGUGUGUAGUUUCUUACAUAAAUUUCCAUUUCAAGGCUUAACGUAUUUUAAUGAAUUUGGAGUAGUUGAGAACAGCCUUUUCUCGGCCACCCUUGCCGUGUGACGAGAUUGCAAUUCCCUACCCUGCCACUAGAUGGAAUUUUCCUAAGUAAUCGCAAAAAACUUUUUUUUUCUGAAAAAAGAAUAUAUCCAACGAUAUCAACCCUUUCUUCAAUUUUAUGCUAUGUUCCACAGUUACCGAAAAUUCGAAAUUUUCUCGCGUCAACCUGACCACAACGAACGAUUCACGACAAUUCAAAUUAUCUCGCAAAAUGCACUUAGAACCGGUAUUAGUAUAUUACUACGGGCGGUAAAAUAUUUCUCAUUUUGAUACUGCCAAAUUACGGUAAAGAUAAGUUUAGAAAAUAGUGCAAUAAGUUUCAUAAACGACAUUUUAGUCACGAGUUUGUUUAGGUAUGAGCGGAAACAAAACAGGUAGACUGCAGUGACAUGAAUGCAAGUGUUUCAAAGGUAACCGAAGAAGAUAUCAGAUUUAGAUUUUUCUUUAAAAAGGUCAAUAUGUACUUCAAGUUGCUACUACUAUAUGGAUAAAAAAUUCUCCAAGUUCGACCAGUCUGGAACAUCUGUAAGGGAUGGGUAUAUUCCAGGAAAUCCAAGGAACCCCCGAUCUACAAACAGAUAUUGAACAGCGAUUUUCGAUUUUUGAAGGUGAUAAGGAUAGGACACCGUGAGAUCUACGAUGUCAGCAUUUGGCCACGAUGGUACUAUGAAGAGACCGUGAGAUUCACAUUGUCAGCUUUUCGGAUACGAACCUAUAAAGUCUUAGUUUUAAGUAAUAUGAUUAUUCUUGUUGUAACUGCUGCUGCAGAAACUCUUAAUUUUCGAUUGUAUUUUGAAAAUAAAGUUUUUAAA